UUGCAGCCAACUAAGCCCACCAUGCUCUCUUCCCCAUGGGAGCCCAGUGUGCAGUGGCUGCAAACAGCAGCCUCCUCGGAAGUACAUGCAGCCUGUUGCCUGUAUGGGCUGCUCUAAGGGACCCUGGAGACAGCC
ensembl:snoRNA SNORA70 Small nucleolar RNA SNORA70